AACGAGGCCGACCUGCGGCUGAGUUACCUGCGGAGGGAUCAUUACCGAGUUUACAACUCCCAAACCCAUGUGAACAUACCUAUCGUUGCUUCGGCGGAUCGCCCCGGGCGCCUCGUGUGCCCCGGAUCCAGGCGGCCGCCGGGGGACCUUAACUCUUGUUUUUACAGAGAAUCUUCUGAGUCGUUUUUACAAAUAAAUAAAAACUUUCAACAACGGAUCU
rnacentral:misc_RNA from 1 species